rnacentral:lncRNA from 1 species
UUUUUCAAUAAAUUGAGAGAGUUGAGGUUGAUUUCAAUGAUUUUAUGACUAAUUCCCCUUGUUUUGACAGAGAUUGAAGUCAUACUGGAAGCAGAGAUGAAAAGCCAAGAAGAUGGAGCUCAAAAAGGCCUGAAAAAGCAUUAGAAGGAGGGACAACACGAAGGUCGGACGCCCUGAAUGGAAGCUUGAGCGAGGGAAAUUGACGUCCACCGCUCGGGCGCCCUCCCUUGUCACCUGGGCGGCGGGGUCUCAAAGCUUGGGCGCCCUAUCUGGAGGCCCCAGCCUUACAUGAGGUCUUCACACCGCUUGAGCGCCCUAAAUGGGGUGCCUGAACGUCGGUUUUUCGUGGAUCAGACCCUGUUUCUGCUUUGUUU